GGGGGCGACCUGGCUUCGACGCGGGUUGCGAAACCUGAAGUGCAUGCCGAGAAUGAGAACUCUCGUAAAAAAGACUCACUUAAAUAUAAAUGCAAACGAUGAAAACUUUGCAGGUGAUGCUAUCGCUGCGUAAGCAUUGAUAGAUAAACCGCACAGCGUGCUGCCACAAAACCAGCACCCCGUUGACCGAGCCUGCUUAUCGGUAUCGAAUCAACGGUCAUAAGAGAUAAGCUAGUGUUCAGCCCUGUCCCGGGACUGAAUGCAAAACUUAAGGGAAUCGCCGUUAACCAUCCUGCCUGUCGGAGGGGAGACGGUUAAAAUAAAAAGACAAGGCUAAGCAUGUAGACCUGAAGGCAGAGGACUUGCGGACGCGGGUUCAAUUCCCGCCGCCUCCACCA
rfam:Legionella israelensis strain Bercovier 4 Lisr_ctg087, whole genome shotgun sequence.